GACGAACGCUGGCGGCGUGCCUAAUACAUGCAAGUAGGACGCAGUUGCGAACGUGUGAGUAACGCGUAGGGCACUACCUAUUAGAGGGGGCUAACUAUUGGAAACGAUAGCUAAUACCGCAUCCUAGUAGCUGUACCUGCGUUGUAUUAGCUAGUAGGGAGGGUAAUGGCCUACCUAGGCAACGAUACAUAGCCGAGCUGGAGGGGUGAACGGGCAAACUGGGAAUGAGACACGGCCCAGAAUCCUACGGGAGGCAGCAGUAGGGAAUCUUCGGAAAUGGGGGGAACCCUGACCGAGCAACGGCGCGGGAGUGAAGAAGGUUUUCGGAUCGUAAAGCUCUGUUGUUAAGGAAGCGGUACUUAACGAGAAAGGGACGGCUAACUACGUGCCAGCAGCCGCGGUAAUAC
rnacentral:rRNA from 1 species